UAAUACAGAGGGUGCGAGCGUUGUCCGGAAUCACUGGGCGUAAAGGGCGCGUAGGCGGCUGGGUAAGCGUGUGGUGAAAGCCCGGGGCUCAACCCCGGGUCGGCCAUGCGAACUGUCCAGCUGGAGCACGGUAGAGGCACAUGGAAUUCCGGGUGUAGCGGUGGAAUGCGUAGAGAUCCGGAAGAACACCGGUGGCGAAGGCGGUGUGCUGGGCCGUGGCUGACGCUGAGGCGCGACAGCGUGGGGAGCAAACAGGAUUAGAUACCCUGGUAGUCCACGCCGUAAACGAUGGGCACUAGGUCCUUGGGGGAGCGACCCCGUGAGGGCCGGCGCUAACGCAUUAAGUGCCCCGCCUGGGGAGUACGGCCGCAAGGCUGAAACUCAAAUGAAUUGACGG
rnacentral:rRNA from 1 species